CGGGACGAGAGGACGGAGGGGGUUUGCGGGUUUGCAGACUUCAAAUGUAAUCCUUCUUAAACUUCCAGACUGCAGCUUCUACUCCAAGAGGUGCCCCUGUACCCGAAGGCCAUGGGUCGGAUCUCGGGCCUCGUGCCCUCUCGCUUUCUGACGCUCCUGGCACAUCUGGUAGUCGUUAUCACCUUAUUCUGGUCCCGGGACAGCAACAUCCUUGCCUGCCUGCCUCUCAGGUUCACCCCCGAGGAGUAUCAGAAGCAAGACAUUCAGCUGGUAACAGCACUCUCUGUCACCCUGGGCCUCUUUGCAGUGGAGCUGGUCGGUUUCCUCUCAGGAGUUUCCAUGUUCAACAGCACCCAGAGUCUCUUCUCCAUUGGGGCUCACUGUAGCGCUUCUGUGGCCCUAUCCUUCUUCAUAUUCGAGCGUUGGGAGUGUACCACGUACUGGUACAUUUUUGUCUUCUGCAGUGCCCUCCCAGCUAUCACUGAAGUGGCAUUAUUCGUCGCUGUCUUUGGGCUGAAAAAGAAACCUUUCUAAUUAUCUUCAUGGCGGGAAGGUGAACUCUCGGUCAUCACACCUCACCACUUCUCCCGCCUCCACUGUGGAUCUAAAUUUGGAGUUUCUCAGCACCGCAGCCAGCCCAUUCCAGGUGCUGAAGGAGGGUCACCAGCCCGGGAUCUGGACGAGCCUUGGGGCCGCGUGGGCCGUGGACUAGUUUGUUGGUUUCA